rnacentral:misc_RNA from 1 species
GUGAAGAACGCAGCGAAAUGCGAUAAGUAAUGUGAAUUGCAGAAUUCAGUGAAUCAUCGAAUCUUUGAACGCACAUUGCGCCCGCUAGUAUUCUGGCGGGCAUGCCUGUCCGAGCGUCAUUUCAACCCUCAAGCCCCCGGGCUUGGUGUUGGGGAUCGGCGAGCCUCCGCGCCCGCCGUCCCCUAAAUCUAGUGGCGGUCUCGCUGUAGCUUCCUCUGCGUAGUAGCACACCUCGCACUGGGAAACAGCGCGGCCACGCCGUUAAACCCCCAACUUCUGAACGUUUGACCUCGGAUCAGGUAGGAAUACCCGCUGAACUUAAGCAUAUCAAUAAGCGGAGGA